UGAAGAUAUCAGCGUUUGCUUUCCCUGCCCGACAGGACUGGGUAACCCGUUGAACCUUCUGAACUUCCUUCAUGCUGGGGAAAGGGGCUUGUAACUGUUCCCCUUGAAC
rnacentral:rRNA from 1 species